rnacentral:rRNA from 1 species
GACGUAGGGCGCGAGCGUUGUCCGGAUUUAUUGGGCGUAAAGAGCUCGUAGGCGGCUUGUCGCGUCGGCUGUGAAAACCCGCGGCUCAACUGUGGGCGGGCAGCUGAUACGGGCAGGCUAGAGUCCGGAAGAGGAGAGUGGAAUUCCACGUGUAGCAGUGAAAUGCGUAGAGAUGUGGAGGAACACCGAUGGCGAAGGCAGCCCCCCUGGGCCAAUACGUGACGCUCAUGCACGAAAGCGUGGGGAGCAAACAGG